AUUGAACGCUGGCGGCAUGCCUUACACAUGCAAGUCGAACAGCAGCGGGGACUUCGGUCCGCCGGCGAGUGGCGAACGGGUGAGUAAUGUAUCGGAACGUACCAUUCAGUGGGGGAUAACUAUCCGAAAGGAUAGCUAAUACCGCAUAUUCUGUGAGCAGGAAAGCAGGGGAUCGCAAGACCUUGCGCUGAUUGAGCGGCCGAAAUCGGAUUAGCUAGUUGGUGAGGUAACGGCUCACCAAGGCUACGAACCGUAGCGGGCCUGAGAGGAUGAUCCGCCACACUGGGACUGAGACACGGCCCAGACUCCUACGGGAGGCAGCAGUGGGGAAUUUUGGACAAUGGGCGCAAGCCUGAUCCAGCCAUGCCGCGUGAGUGAAGAAGGCCUUCGGGUUGUAAAGCUCUUUCGGCCGGGAAGAAAUCGCAUCAGCUAAUACCUGGUGUGGAUGACGGUACCGGAAUAAGAAGCACCGGCUAACUACGUGCCAGCCGCCGCAGUAAAAC
rnacentral:rRNA from 1 species